rnacentral:rRNA from 1 species
UACGUAGGCGGCUUAUUAAGUCAGAUGUGAAAGCCCCGGGCUUAACCUGGGAACUGCAUUUGAUACUGGUAAGCUAGAGUAUGGUAGAGGGGGGUAGAAUUCCUAGUGUAGCGGUGAAAUGCGUAGAUAUUAGGAGGAAUACCAGUGGCGAAGGCGGCCCCCUGGACCAAUACUGACGCUGAGGUACGAAAGCGUGGGUAGCGAACA